GCCACUCCUCGUUUCCCCAAACACACCACACACCCACCCAAUCUAGCGAUUCCUCUCGAUCCAGCGCAUGGUCUUGGUGCGGGCGGUGAAGACCUAGGCGGCGCGUUCGGCGACCUAGCUCCGCCCCUACACCAGCCCCUCCUUCUAACCGAUUCCACGGCCGGCGGGAGGAGCUCGUCGUGGCGCUGGAUUAAUUGGCGGCGGGGAGGCUCGGAGGAAGAGAUUGCGGUCACUUGCGUGGAGCUUCUGCUACCUGCGACCACCACCCCAAGCUGCUUCCAGAGGCGACGUCCCCGAGCUCCUGCCACCGGCCACCUCUCCGGCAUGCUGCUGCCGGUCACCUCGUCAGCCAUCUGCUGCCCGGUAGCUGUGUAUAAAUUUAUAUGCGAAGACACUAUCAAGGAGAAAAAUAUUGCAAAGGGCAAAAGCAGAAAAAAUUAGUACAAGAGUUGGUAAUGAACGGGAAACAAGUCCAGGAUGAUCAUCUGAUCAGACAAGAGGAUAUAGUUUCAUUACUUCUUGACGAUAAACAGAUCGCACACAAAUUGGAAGAAAUACUAAUGCAGUUCAUUUCGAUGUGAGUUCAUUUCGACGUGACCCGACCGUUCCGGCUC